rnacentral:lncRNA from 1 species
CCCGCGAACCAACCGCCUGCCUACCCUCGAGCCGAUUGUUUAGGUGACAUGCCACCGCAUUAUCCCCCCAAGUGGUGGGCUCCGAGAGUUAUGAAAAGUAUACAUAAUAUAUAAAUGAUGAUGGCUUGUGGUAAAAGCAUUUUUUUCAAAAGAGAAAAUUGUAAUAAAUUCACAGGCAUGAAAUUAUAAAUCUCUUGCCAGUUAAAGAUCGCAAGUACUGGAUAAUAGCCGGGAGUAAGGUAUGAAGUUUGUUGUUGUUUCACCAUCAUUCAUUUGGUGUUCCGCCAUGAACUCCCAUUCCAUGUGAAGAUUUUUUCAGCUCGCUAGCCAAUCAACAAGUCUUUUGAUGGUCAUAUAGAGAUUUGG